rnacentral:rRNA from 1 species
GUGGGGAAUUUUGGACAAUGGGCGCAAGCCUGAUCCAGCCAUGCCGCGUGAGUGAAGAAGGCCUUCGGGUUGUAAAGCUCUUUCGGCCGGAACGAAAUCGCGCCCCCUAAUACGGGGUGUGGAUGACGGUACCGGAAGAAGAAGCACCGGCUAACUACGUGCCAGCAGCCGCGGUAAUACGUAGGGUGCGAGCGUUAAUCGGAAUUACUGGGCGUAAAGCGUGCGCAGGCGGCUCGCCAAGUCAGAUGUGAAAGCCCCGGGCUUAACCUGGGAAUUGCGUUUGAAACUGGCGGGCUGGAGUGUGGCAGAGGGAGGUGGAAUUCCACGUGUAGCAGUGAAAUGCGUAGAGAUGUGGAGGAACACCGAUGGCGAAGGCAGCCUCCUGGGCCAACACUGACGCUCAUGCACGAAAGCGUGGGGAGCAAACAGGAUUAGAAACCCGUGUAGUCC